AUGAACGCUGGCGGCGUGCCUAAUACAUGCAAGUCGCGCGAACGGACGAGAAGCUUGCUUCUCUGAUGUUAGCGGCGGACGGGUGAGUAACACGUGGAUAACCUACCUAUAAGACUGGGAUAACUUCGGGAAACCGGAGCUAAUACCGGAUGAUAUUUUGAACCGCAUGGUUCAAAAGUGAAAGACGGUCUUGCUGUCACUUAUAGAUGGAUCCGCGCUGCAUUAGCUGGUUGGUAAGGUAACGGCUUACCAAGGCAACGAUGCAUAGCCGACCUGAGAGGGUGAUCGGCCACACUGGAACUGAGACACGGUCCAGACUCCUACGGGAGGCAGCAGUAGGGAAUCUUCCGCAAUGGGCGAAAGCCUGACGGAGCAACGCCGCGUGAGUGAUGAAGGUCUUCGGAUCGUAAAACUCUGUUAUUAGGGAAGAACAUAUGUGUAAGUAACUGUGCACAUCUUGACGGUACCUAAUCAGAAAGCCACGGCUAACUACGUG
rnacentral:rRNA from 1 species